rnacentral:misc_RNA from 1 species
UAGAAUUUUAAGAUUGAAGGUUGUGCUGGCUUUUCGGAGCAUGUGCACGCCUUUGGUCGAAAUCUUCUCCUUCAACCACUGUGCACCUUUUGUGGAAUCUGUUGCAGAAAAUGCGAAUGGAGACUAUGCGCGCUUAACCCCGCGCUCGUCUUGUUAAAGUGCAUAUAUGCGCAGGUUUCACGUCUUAUUACACACUAUAAACCAACCUCAGAAUGUAUCGUAUAGAGUUGGGACUCCGCGCGCCCUUCUUUACACAAUGUCUAUA